GGGGCGCUGUGCCCGGCCGUGCUCCCCAAGAUGGCGGCGGGCGGCGCCGCUCUGGCCGUGGUGGUGCUGCUGUCGGUGCUGUGGUGCUGGUGGCGGCGGGCGGGGCGCGCUGCGGGCCGGGUGUGUGUGGCGGUGCUGGGCGACCUGGGCCGCAGCCCGAGGAUGCAGUACCACGCGCUGUCGUUGGCCCGGCACGGCCGCCAAGUAUCGCUGCUGGGCUAUUUACAGACUCGGCCGCACCGCGACGUGCUGAGCAGCGGGGAGAUCCAGGUUGUGCCCGUGUCGGAGCUGCGGAGCUUGAGAGUUGGGCCGAAGCUGUUCCAGUACGUGGUGAAAGUCGUUGUACAGACCGUGCAGUUACUGCACACGAUGCUGAGGAUGGAGCCGCCUUCCUGUGUCCUCCUUCAGAAUCCUCCAGGUUUGCCCAGUAUAGCUGUUGCCUGGCUGGCUUGUCUUUUCUGGAGAAGCAAGCUGAUAAUAGAUUGGCACAAUUACGGAUACACCAUCAUGAGUCUGAAUCAUGGAAGGAAUCACCCAUUGGUGCUCAUCGCAAAAUGGUAUGAGAAGCUGUUUGGGCGAUUGUCUGACUAUAACCUGUGUGUCACUGAUGCCAUGAAGGAAGAUCUGUGGGUGAACUGCAACAUCCGAGCAGUAACGCUGUAUGAUAGGCCAGCUUCUUAUUUUAAGGAAACUCCAUUAGAGCUUCAGCAUCAGUUGUUCAUGAAACUUGCCCAAGACUAUGAGCCAUUUAAACCACAACAUGUUACAGAGUCUGUCAGUUGGAACGCUGAGAGGUCGGCCUUUACAGAAAGGGAUGAGAAGAGCGGGGAUGUGACAAGAAGCAGAGGACGGCCGGCUCUUCUCAUCAGCAGCACCAGCUGGACAGAGGAUGAAGACUUUUCAGUCCUUCUGAAGGCGUUAGAAGAUUAUGAGCAGUAUAUCAAUGAGGGAGUCAAGCUUCCAGCUUUAGUAUGUGUGAUAACAGGUAAAGGACCACUAAAGGAGUACUACAAUGGACUGAUACAGAAACUGCACUUUAAACAUAUCCAGAUCUGUACACCGUGGCUGGAAGCUGAGGAUUACCCAGUUUUGCUUGGCUCAGCAGACUUGGGUGUGUGUCUCCAUAAAUCAUCUAGUGGAUUGGAUUUACCUAUGAAGGUGGUAGAUAUGUUUGGCUGCUGCUUACCUGUGUGUGCAAUAUAUUUUGAAUGUUUACAUGAACUUGUGAAACACAAUGAAAAUGGGCUGAUAUUCAGGGAUUCAGAUGAACUUGCAGAACAACUGAAGAUCCUUUUCUUGGGAUUUCCCACAUUGGAAGGCAAACUCCAUGAGUUCAGGAAAAACCUUCGUGCAUCCAGGCAGCUGAGCUGGGAUGAGAGUUGGGACCAGACCGUUCUUCCUUUAUUUAACCAGACUGAAUGACUUUUGGGGGGAGUAUGGGGUCAAAAAAGCUAUCAUGUGUGCACCUCCAGGACUGUCUUCAAUGUUACUACAGGAGGAGGAAGUGAAUGUAUUUCUUCCUUUUCUUAAAGUAACUUCUAAAACAACAUCUAGAAAUGGAAGUCAAAAGAGGAGAAAAAUAAUACAUUCGGUUCUGCUUCAGGAUUAAUGGUGGCUAAUGAAUGACGUGAAGGUCCAAAGCAGGAUAGUCACGUUGGGCUGCGUAUCAUGGAGAAAAAUCCUAUUGCUGUGGGUUGGAAUAAUCUGCCAUCUGAUCCCGGCUUUAUCUGCAAAGGGAAACACUGAGAAUCGUA